rnacentral:tRNA from 2 species
GGGUUUAUAAUGUAUUAGUGCAUGUCUUUUUUGCAAAAAGAAAGUCUUAUAUCCA